rnacentral:rRNA from 1 species
AACGAACGCUGGCGGCAUGCCUAACACAUGCAAGUCGAACGAGACCUUCGGGUCUAGUGGCGCACGGGCGCGUAACGCGUGGGAACCUGCCCUUAGGUUCGGAAUAACUCCCCGAAAGGGGUGCUAAUACCGGAUAAUGUCUUCGGACCAAAGGUUUAUCGCCUUUGGAUGGGCCCGCGUUGGAUUAGCUAGUUGGUAGGGUAAAAGCCUACCAAGGCGACGAUCCAUAGCUGGUCUGAGAGGAUGAUCAGCCACACUGGGACUGAGACACGGCCCAGACUCCUACGGGAAGCAGCAGUGGGGAAUAUUGGACAAUGGGCGAAAGCCUGAUCCAGCAAUGCCGCGUGAGUGAUGAAGGCCUUAGGGUUGUAAAGCUCUUUUACCCGGGAUGAUAAUGACAGUACCGGGAGAAUAAGCUCCGGCUAACUCCGUG